rnacentral:lncRNA from 1 species
AUGUCUAGCACAUCAAGGGUACUCAAGCAUCAUUCAGACCAUACAAGUCUAAGUCUGAUUAAAAAGCACUUUGAACAAUGCCUGGAGAGAACCUGUGGGCCUGUCUCCUUGCUUAUACCAAGGAACCACUAUCCUCUAGAACAGAAAAAGCCUAAGCGAAAGAAGCUACAGGAACACCAAGCAAACCAAGCAUAGGUCUUCCUCUGAGUUUCUUAGUUUGCUUAAGUCCAUGUGUUCUGCUCUGAAGUAGUGGGAGAUGGCAUGGCUGGCGAGAGGUUUCCUUUCAUGUAAAAAAUUAAAGAAAUGUAAAUUUUCUUGCAAAUCAUAGGUUUUGAAUAUUUGUUAAAUGAAUGAAUAAAUGGGAAUGAGUAUGAUUUUCUAUUAUAUAUAAUUUUUUAAGGAUUUUCUAUAUAUAGUAACAUGUCAUCUGCAAUUAGUGAAUGUACUUCUUUCUUACAAAUUUGGAUGCCUUUUAUUUCUUUUUCUUGUCUGACUGCUAUGGCUAGGACUCUCAGUUUCUACAUUGAGUAAAAGUGGUGAGAGUGGAUAUCCUUGUCUUAUUCCUGGUCGUAGAGGAAAAACUCAGUUUUUUACCUUGGAGAAUGGUAUUAGCUGUGGGUUUUCAUAUAUGGCUUUUAUAAUAUUGAGGUAUAUUGCCUCUAAGUCUACUUUGUUGAGAAUUUUAUCAUGAAUGGAUCUUGAACUUUUCAAAUACUUUAUCUGUGUCUAUUGAGAUGAUCAUAGUUUUUUUUUUCCCUUUCUCUUGUUAAAGUAAUAUAGCAUGUUGAUUGAUUUGUGAAUAUUGAACUGCCCUUGCAUCCCAGUAAUAAAUCCCAUUUGAUUGUGAUGAAUGAUUUUUUUGGAUGUAUUUUGGAUUCAGUUUGCUAGGGAGAUUUUUGCAUCUAUCUUCAUCAGUAAUAUUAGCCUACAAUUUUCUUUUUUGGUAGUGUCUUUAUCUGGUUUUGGUAUCAGGGUAAUGCUGGCCUCAUAAAAUGAGUUUGGAAUCUUUCCUUCCUCUUCUAUUUUUUGGAAUAGUUUGAGAAUAAGUAUUAACUCUUCUUUAAAUGUUUGAUAGAAUUCACCUGUGAAGUCAUUUGGUCCUAGACUUUUGUUUGUUGUGAAUUUUUUUUAUUACUGAUUCAACUUAAUUGCUAGUAAUAUGUUCAAAUUUUCUAUUUCUUCCGAUUCAGUUUUGGGCGAUUAUGUUUCUAGGAAUUUUUCCAUUUCUUCUAGGUUGUCCAAUUUGUUGGCAUAU